rnacentral:tRNA from 1 species
GGGAGUAGAUGGGUUCUGGUGUGCCCCCUGGUCUUCAAAACCAGUGUAGGCGGUGAACAGCCGCCCUGGUGGGUUCGAUUCCCACAUACUUCCGCCA